UCGCCCCAGACCCCCAAGACCGAGGCGUCCGGGAGCCUGACGGAGCUGUUUGAGAAGGCGGCCGCACACCUCCAAGGCCUGAUUCAGGUGGCCAGCAGGGAGCAGCUGCUGUACCUGUACGCCAGGUACAAGCAAGUCAGAGUUGGAAAUUGCAAUACUCCUAAACCAAGCUUCUUUGAUUUUGAAGGAAAGCAAAAAUGGGAAGCAUGGAAAGCACUUGGUGACUCAAGCCCUACCCAAGCAAUGCAAGAAUAUAUUGCAGUAAUUAAAAAAUUAGACCCAGGUUGGAAUCCUCAGACAUCAGAGAAAAAAGGAAAAGAAGCAAAAAGUGUUUUGGUGGGCCAGUUGUUAGUUCUCUAUAUCAUGAAGAAACCAUCAGGGAAGAAGACAAAGACAUAUUUGAUUACUGCAGGGAAAACAACAUUGACCAUAUAACCAAAGCCAUUCAAUCAAAAAGUAUGGAUGUGAAUAUGAAAGAUGAAGAGGGCAGAGCUCUACUCCAUUGGGCAUGUGAUCGAGGACAUAAGGAACUAGUCACAGUUUUGCUACAACAUAAAGCUGAUAUUAAUUGUCAGUUCCAGCCAAUUACCAAUUUGUGACCAGUCAUCUUUAAUCUAGACUGUG